GUUUUCCUAUGUUACAUUAAUAUAUGGCAUUUCUACAUGUUCUAAAUGUCCCCUACAUACUUUUGUAAUUAUCCUGAAUUUCCCCUUAAUUUUUUACUGCUUUUCAUUUUUUUUCUUUCAUUUUGUUUUCUUACAAACAGUUAGCGGUAACCGCGUCUUAUACUGUACAGUUCCCAAUAGCCGUCGAAAAAGUUGAAUUCUCAAGCCGUGAAGAACGAUUGUGAAGGCAUUACAAAUUUACAAUACAUAGGAUUAGGAGUACGUUGAUCGGGUUUAAUAUAAUUUACGAGAUACCCCUACUUCGUCGCUAAUGUCUGGACUUGCUCGGUAUCACGACUCACGAGGCAUCUUAAGGUGCAGGAUAAGCAUACACAUUUCACGGCUUAUUCUCUCUGAUUGAUGUUCCACUGAGGCCGAGAAGACAUUCUGACCUCAAUGUGCAAUGUUUCAACAGAGUAGACGGCACCAAACACAAACAAACAUUCUGCCUUCUAGCCAGCUAUAUAUAUUCAGUACUACUCCCUCACUUCGAUUUCAAACCAAAGUACGGGUUUAACUAAUAAUCAGUACAAAACCAACGGCCUAAUUUCGCUCUCACCUAGGUGAUCCUUCCACCACAAAGUUUGUAACCACAUGAUUAGGAUGUAGCGGAAUGUUUCAUCCUCCCAAUGCAGUAGGAGGCAGCCUAAUUACAGCAUCGUCAGUGUACGCGUCCUCCUCUACCGUAACACGACGAAAGGUUAGGCAUGUACAGAUCUACUGCAAAUUAAAGCAACCAUAUGCAUAUAAUCUCAUACACGUACAAGGCUAAGUCCAAGGUGGAGAAAUUAAAGAUCAGGUAACGAAAGAACAGUUAAAGGCUGCACGGUCCUUGAAUCUUGACCCCGUGGACUGAAGUACAAUGAAAAAGAAACCAAAAGGUCUUCGUAGAUUUCAAAUGCCUUUGGACUUGAUGUGUGUAAUGGCCAAGAACAAAGGGACAGGUGAUGCAAAACAAGCGUUGUGUUUUGCAGCGUAAGCUUGCUGUGCCAGUUACAGGAGAAAUGGUAUUAACUUAUUAUGAGUACUAUGGUAGGUAAGGGGAUGAAGGGAUAGUGGCUAAUUAUGUAGUACUACGCUGGAGUGGUGAUCAGUCUUGGAAAAGGCUCUAACACAGCGAUUAUAUUAUGAAAGAGAAGGGAGAGGGUUUUGUUCCUUUCUCACUUGUCUUGUUAUGUCACAGGCUGAACUUAGGUGCAGUGGUGCAUGCUAGAGAUGCUCCUCCUGGAGUCUCUCAUCUCUGCAUCAACCUACUCAUGCAUCUCCUAAAUUCCAACUUGCCAUCACGUUGUGUUUAGCUUCUGACAUUGGCAUGUGAACAAAGAUAAGAGCGAUCUGGCUGACAUGAUUGCGAGCAGUCGUAAAACGCACCUUCUUAAUUUGAGCUUUGAUUGUAUAAACGCCCAGAGGCCCUCUUCCGUACUUCUGCUCCAUGUAUACCACGUUGGAAUUCACAACUUGUCUUCUAAAAAUCUCUGUUAUCUGACACGCAUAUCUAGCUACGUCAUUGGUCAGUGACAUACUUCUACCACCAUACCAUAGCAAAUCAGGGGUCAGUACUGCUGACUACCUUCUUCACCUGAGCCAAAGUGCCCCUUGACGUCUUGAUCAUCAAUCGGAGCUAGAGUAGUGUCACGCAGAGAUAUCUCUGCGAUUCCGGCAGGUGUACCAUGCACGUGGAAACACAACUGAACGGGGCCAAUGUACGCGCUGGCUGUGGUCACACACAAACACAAGGGGAGAGCUACUCCAGUAGACUGUGUCGCGUAAC
rnacentral:sRNA from 1 species